rnacentral:rRNA from 1 species
GACGAACGCUGGCGGCGUGCUUAACACAUGCAAGUCGAACGAAGAGCGAUGGAAGCUUGCUUCUAUCAAUCUUAGUGGCGAACGGGUGAGUAACGCGUAAUCAACCUGCCCUUCAGAGGGGGACAACAGUUGGAAACGACUGCUAAUACCGCAUACGAUCUAAUCUCGGCAUCGAGGAUAGAUGAAAGGUGGCCUCUACAUGUAAGCUAUCACUGAAGGAGGGGAUUGCGGCUGAUUAGCUAGUUGGAGGGGUAACGGCCCACCAAGGCGAUGAUCAGUAGCCGGUCUGAGAGGAUGAACGGCCACAUUGGGACUGAGACACGGCCCAGACUCCUACGGGAGGCAGCAGUGGGGAAUCUUCCGCAAUGGACGAAAGUCUGACGGAGCAACGCCGCGUGAGUGAUGACGGCCUUCGGGUUGUAAAGCUCUGUUAAUCGGGACGAAAGGCCUUCUUGCGAACAGUUAGAAGGAUUGACGGUACCGGAAUAGAAAGCCACGGCUAACUACGUG